rnacentral:rRNA from 1 species
UGGGGAAUAUUGGACAAUGGGGGCAACCCUGAUCCAGCAAUGCCGCGUGUGUGAAGAAGGUCUUCGGAUUGUAAAGCACUUUCGACGGGGACGAUGAUGACGGUACCCGUAGAAGAAGCCCCGGCUAACUUCGUGCCAGCAGCCGCGGUAAUACGAAGGGGGCUAGCGUUGCUCGGAAUGACUGGGCGUAAAGGGCGUGUAGGCGGUUUACACAGUCAGAUGUGAAAUCCCCGGGCUUAACCUGGGAGCUGCAUUUGAUACGUGUAGACUAGAGUGUGAGAGAGGGUUGUGGAAUUCCCAGUGUAGAGGUGAAAUUCGUAGAUAUCGGGAAGAACACCGGUGGCGAAGGCGGCAACCUGGCUCAUGACUGACGCUGAGGCGCGAAAGCGUGGGGAGCAAACAGGAUUAGAUACCCUGGUAGUCCACGCUGUAAACGAUGUGUGCUAGAUGUUGGGUAACUUUGUUAUUCAGUGUCGCAGUUAACGCGUUAAGCACGCCGCCUGGGGAGUACGGCCGCAAGGUUGAAAC